AGUGAACGCUGGCGGUAGGCCUAACACAUGCAAGUCGAACGGCAGCACAGUAAGAGCUUGCUCUUACGGGUGGCGAGUGGCGGACGGGUGAGGAAUACAUCGGAAUCUACUUUUUCGUGGGGGAUAACGUAGGGAAACUUACGCUGAUACCGCAUACGACCUACGGGUGAAAGCAGGGGAUCUUCGGACCUUGCGCGAUUGAAUGAGCCGAUGUCGGAUUAGCUAGUUGGCGGGGUAACGGCCCACCAAGGCGACGAUCCGUAGCUGGUCUGAGAGGAUGAUCAGCCACACUGGAACUGAGACACGGUCCAGACUCCUACGGGAGGCAGCAGUGGGGAAUAUUGGACAAUGGGCGCAAGCCUGAUCCAGCCAUACCGCGUGGGUGAAGAAGGCCUUCGGGUUGUAAAGCCCUUUUGUUGGGAAAGAAAAGCAGCAGGUUAAUACCCCGCUGUUCUGACGGUACCCAAAGAAUAAGCACCGGCUAACUUCGUG
rnacentral:rRNA from 1 species